UACCCAACACGUCACUUCUCGGAAAAAUGUUCAGUAGUAGGGAGCCAGCAUUGCAUUGAACGCAGAUUUCAUGUUCGAUUCUUGCGAGUUUUAGAGGAACUUACUCUAGAUAACAUACAAGGCUUUAUUGUUAGCUGAGUUAGUAAAUGGAGUAAAUUGAUCUUGAUCAAUCAGCCUCAAGGGGACUUGAUUACAAGGCUGCCAUGGCAACAGGCACAAGCAAAACCCCUAUUUUAAUUGUGCCAACAACACUUGCAGGACCUCCUGCCAUACCCACAGUUCUCACCAGUCCCUCAGCGGUAGCAGCAGGCCCUGGUGGGUAGAAUGACUUUCUUAUUUACUUUUAAUUAAUACCUUCUGGGCCCUUGGGUGGCAGGUAGUUCUGUUUUCAGGAGAAUUUUGACAUUUUCUGUCUGGUAACUCAGAAAAAAUAUUAUACCACUGACCCCUGGGGAGGUAGGGGGGUAAUUGGGUCAAUUUUUGCUGGGUUUGUGCCACUGGCCGCUCAGAACCCCUACUCCAUUAUUUUGCAUUCUGUGGUCAGUUAUAGACCCCAGUUUAGUGACUUUUGGGCAAAUGUAAUUUUGUGAUUCCAACCAAAGGGUAGAGAAUCAUACUACUUUUGAAUCCCUACUUACUGGAAUUUUUUUUAGCCUCAAAAUCCAGAAAAUGUGCAACUCCAUUUGUUGAAAAGACUUAGUGUAGCCUUAGAGAAAACAAACACGAUGAUUAUUAAUUGUGAACAAGAUUACCCCUUUAGUGUGGAGUUAUCGACAAAGAGUGACACCUGAUUGCAUACAUCAUCUGACAACAGCAAAAAACAACUUUUGUUGGCACCAGGAUUACAA